rnacentral:misc_RNA from 1 species
UGGAAGUAAAAANUCGUAACAAGGUUUCCGUAGGUGAACCUGCGGAAGGAUCAUUACCGUUGGGGCUUCGGCCCCAAUCAAGAUACCACCCCUUGCAUUUUGAGUACCUUCUGUUUCCUCGGCGGGCCCGCCCGCCAACGGGGACCACACCGAACCCUUCUGUAGUUGCAGUAAACGUCUGAAAAACAAACAAAAAAUCAAAACUUUCAACAACGGAUCUCUUGGUUCUGGCAUCGAUGAAGAACGCAGCGAAAUGCGAUAAGUAGUGUGAAUUGCAGAAUUCAGUGAAUCAUCGAAUCUUUGAACGCACAUUGCGCCCUUUGGUAUUCCUUAGGGCAUGCCUGUUCGAGCGUCAUCUAACCCCCUCAAGCACUGCUUGGUGUUGGGCGCUUUGUCCCGCCCCGGCGCGGACUCGCCUCAAAAGCAUUGGCGGCCUGUGUAUUGGCUUCGAGCGCAGCAGACGCGCGCCUCGCGAACCUCUGGCACGGGCGUCCAUCAAGACGCACCCCAAAGUUUGACCU